CAUCAAUCAAUUAACAGACUGAUUGAUUGUAUUUGUGUGAAAUUGCAAACUGCCUUGAUAAAUUUCUGCUUUUAUUUUGAAUUCUGUUAUGGCACCGCAUUACCAUAAUAUCGUAGAUAUACAGGCACAGCAAAUUAAGUGGUGGCUAGGUUGACCUGGGAUUUCGGAGUGGAGGGUGGCUUGACUGCAUUGACGGACAUGAAUGAAGGAGCAAGUGAAACCAUGUUUCAGCGGUAGGUCAAAUUCACACAUUUUGAGCAGAAUCUUAGCUGAGAAAGCAUUUUUGGCUUGAAUAUGGCUUCAUCUUCUCUAACUGCCCAAAACAAGCUUCUAGCGCCCUGAAAAGCUUGAUUUGGCCAGAAAAUACUUCUGACUGAAAUGAAUGAUGGAACAAGUGAAACCAUGUUUCAACACUGUGAUUAGGUCAAAUUCAUACAUUUUGAGCAGAAUCUUAGAUGAAAAAGCAUUUUUGGCUGGAAUACAGGUUCAUCUUUUCUAACUUCUCAAAACAAGCUUCUAGCGCCCUGAAAAGCUUGAUUUGGCAAGAAAAGACGUCUGACUGAAAUGAAUGCUGGAACAAGUGAAAAGUUUCAGCGGUAGGUCAAAUUCACACAUUUUGAGCAGAAUCUUAGCUGAGAAAGCAUUUUUGGCUUGAAUAUGGCUUCAUCUUCUCUAACUGCCCAAAACAAGCUUCUAGCGCCCUGAAAAGCUUGAUUUGGCCAGAAAAUACUUCUGACUGAAAUGAAUGAUGGAACAAGUGAAACCAUGUUUCAACACUAUGAUUAGGUCAAAUUCACACAUUUUGAGUAGAAUCUUAUGUGAGAAAGCAUUUUUGGCUGGAGUACAGCUUCAUCUUCUCUAACUGCCCCAAACAAGCUUCUACCACCCUGAAAAGCUUGAUUUGGCAUGAAGAGACGUCUGACAGAAAAUAAUAACGGAACAAGUGAAACCAUUGUUUCAACAGUACAAUUAGGACAAAUUCCCACAUUUUGGGAAUAAGCGUAGCUAAGAAAUUAUUUUUGGCUAGAAUACAGCUUCAUCUUCUCUAACUGGUCAAAACAAGCUUCUAGCGUCCUGAAAAGCUUGAUUUCGCAAGAAAAGACUCCUAAUUGAAAUCAGUGAUAGAACAAGUGAAACGAUGUUUCAACACUACGAUUAGGUCAAAUUUAUACAUUUUGAGCAGAAUCUUAGCUGAUAAAGCAUUUUUGGCUGGAAUAUAGCUGCAUCUUCUCUAACUGCCCAAAACAAGAUUCUAGCGCGCUGAAAAGCUUGACUUUGCAAGAAAAGACAUUUGACUGAAAUGAAUGAAGGAACAAGUGAAACCAUGUUUCAACAUCAUGAUUAGGUCAAAUUCACGCAUUUUGAGCAUAAUCGUAGCUGAGAAAGGAUUUUUGUCUGGAAUACAGCUUCAUCUUCUCUAACUGCCCAAAACAGCUUCUAGCGCCCUGAAAAGCUUGAUUUCGCAAUAAAAGGCGUCUGACUGAAAUGAAUGAUGGAACAAGUGAAACCAUGUUUCAACUCUAUAAUUACUUCAGAUUAAUGCAUUUUGAGCAGAAUCUCAGCUGAGAAAGCAUUUUUGGCUGGAAUACAGCUUCAUCUUCUCUAACUGCCGAAAACAAGCUUCUAGUGCCCUGACAAGCUUGAUUUCCCAACAAAAGGCGUCCGACUGAAAUGACUGAUGGAACAAGUGACACCAUGUUUCAACAGUACGAUUUCGUCAAAUUUGCACAUUUUGAGCAGAAUCUUAGCUGAAAAAGCAUUUGCAGGAAUACAGCUUCAUCUUCUCUGACUGCCCAAAACAAUGAUUUCACAAUAAAAGACGUCUCACUGAAAUCAAUGAUGGAACAAGUGAAAUCAUGUGUCAACACUAUGAUUAGGUCAAAUUCACAUAUUUUGUGCAGAAUCUUAUGUAACUCAUGUUAAAAUAUGACAUAAGUAAGUAAGUAAAUUAAUAAGUAAAUUAAUUUCUCAGAGUUUAUUAAAUGCUAAUACUGCUAAUACAACAAUAAUUUAAUGUUGAAGAAGUGUGUUGACAGAAACUUCAUGUCGCUGCACCUUUAAGAGACGAGUGACGCGAUACGCAGCACUUGAGAUGCUGCAGUAGAGACCUGAGGCUGAGAACAGAGGAGGAUGAUAAGAGAGGACUAGCGGUGGCUAAUACGCAGAGAAAAGAGCGAAAAAAGUAGAUUUUUGCAGUUGAAAACCGUAACUUGGCUGGUCGGGAACUGACGGGGGAUUUUAUGAAAACUAAGCCACAUUGCUUUUGGUCAGGUUUUUUUUUUUUGCUUGGUUUGAAGCUUGGUCGGAGCGAGUACUGGUCUGUACUGUGCGGGCGUGCACAUGCACAGACGGGAUCCAAGAUGGCGAGCUAGGCCCGGAUCUUCACCUCACCUUCUCCAUUCCAUCAGUGAGGAAAUCUUCUGCAUAUGGUGACUCGCUGCCAGAGUGGUAGGAGUAUCAGGAAUUAGUUUUGAACUGAACUGAGAACUGACUGGAUUGUUAUUUGUUUUUGGACAUUCAUCUUCACCACCACAUCAGUGAAGAAAUCUUCUGCAUAUGGUGACUCGCUGCCAGAGUGGCAGGAGUAUCCGGAGUUAGUUUUGAACUGAACACUUGAACUCACAUUUGGAUUCUAACUUGAAUUGAAAGUGUCAAACUUUUAUUUGUAUAUUGAGUUCAUACUUUUGAAUGUGAUUUGAAAUGAUAGUGGUCCACUUUGAUUUGAUUGUGUAAUUGAAGGUAUUUUCUUGCCUUAAAGGAAGGAAAAAAGAGUUAACUCGGGAAGAAAAACAGGAAUUCCAAAAAAAAGGACUGGUCCAAUAUAACUUAGAUUAGCUGCACUAAAAUAACUUUGGUGAACUAAAGAAAGUGAAAUAUCUUUUCAUUUAUUAUAUUUACCUCAAUAUUAAGAACCUGCAGGGCAUUUUUUAAAUUUGUGUACUGUACUUUAUAUGUGUUUUUGCAUUCAUUAAAUUGCCGGCCUUUUGCAGUUAAAGCAAUGGUCUCUGGUGUAAUUUUUGCUCCCCACUCCUUAGAACCUAGAACUAGCCCAGUGGCGCAGUAAGUGGUGUGAUACCGGUGCUACACUUAGCUGAGAAAGCAUUUUUGGCGUGUAUAUAGCUUCAUCUUCUCUAACUGCCGAAAACAAGGUUCUAGAACCCUGAAAAGCUUGAUUUCGCAAUAAAAGGCGUCCGACUGAAAUGAAUGAUGGAGCAAGUGAAACCAUGUUUCAACAGUAUGAUUUGGUCAAAUUCGCACAUUUUGAGUAGGAUCUUAGCUGAGAGAGCAUUUUUCACUGAAAUACAGCUACAUCUUCUCUAACUGCCUAAAACAAGUUUAGCGCCCUGAAAAGCUUGAUUUGGCCAGAAAAUACUUCUGACUGAAAUUAAUGAUGGAACAAGUGAAACCAUGUUUCAACAGUACGAUUAGGUCAAAUUCACACAUUUUGAGAAGAACCUUUGCUGAGAAAGCAUUUUUGGCUGGAAUACAGCUUCAUCUUCUCUAACUGCCCUGUACUGUCCUUGAAAGUUAAAAUGUUAAGUUAAAGUUCAUAAGUUAACUUGUAAGCAGGUCUAAAAAGUAUAUGUGCUUUGGUUCAAAGAAACAGCGUCAGAGUGAGUGGUCUUCUCUUUGGUUCAGAGAAACCGCGUCAGACAGGGUCUCCGCUGAUCCUUAAAAAGUAUUAAAAUGUCUUAGAUAAAAUAAACGUUUUUUAAGGUCUUAGAAUGUAUUAAAUUUCGCUAAUUUUCGAAGUGUGGCAUUAAAUUUCAUCAGGACGGUAUUAAAUUUCAUUUGUGCUGAAUGAAAGAAUAUGGAGAGAUAUUUUCCCAUGCUCGUCCCUGUUUAACAAGACGGUAAAUACGAAGCGCGUUGCAGACUUUGCAAAAAAAACAUGAAACUGGGAACAAUGGGCUGCAAAGCCCUUGACGCACACAUGAAAGGCGAGAAGCACAGGCGCUAUGCCGAAAGUCAGGCAACUUCUGUCCCCAUUCAGAUGUAUGCAGCAUCGGCUAACGUUACUGUAAAUCCAAACGCUAACGUUACGCCCGCGUUGGUGUCUUCGGGGCACAGUACAAGUAAUGCUUUCGGUACAUUCGCCCGAACCACUACACUGAAGGCCGAGAUGCUGUAGGUUUUACAAACAGUUAGCCGACAUCACUCAUAUACUUCAAAUGAAGACGUGAGCACAGUCUUCAAGGCAAUGUUCCCUGAUUCAGAAUGCGCAAAAACAUUCAGUUGUGGCAAGGACAAAACAUGUUAUCUUGCUCGGUUUGGACUUGCCCCGUACAUAAAAAGGGAACUUCUGUCAAGUGUGAAUCAAGGGACCUUCGUUAUCAUGUUCGACGAAAGCACGAAUAGGACCACAAAAAACAAACAACUAGAUUUGCAUGUCAGAUAUUGGGUGAAUGACAAGAAUGGAUCUCGAGUGCAGUCCGGGUAUCUGGGAUCACAGUAUAUGGGUCACUCCACUGCUGAAGAUCUACUGGAAAAGUUCAAGGUAAGCCAACAACCUAACAAAUUAAGACAAGCACGUGAUUUAAUGUUUCUAAAUGAGAUAAUUUUUUGCUAACAAAUACAUUUGCAACAGUUUUUAUUUAUGACCUCUAGUGGAUAAAUGUGUGUAAAAGCAACUUGCUGAUGUUGGAACUGGUUUUUAAUUGAAUAAUAGUAUAGCCUAUUCUAAGUUAUUGUGAAUGUCCCCUGUUUUAUUUAAUAAGCAAUUUUAUUGUCACUUAUAGAAAUAUAGUGUGUGAUGUGUGGGGGCUAUCCGGUGGACGGCAGGGUGGGGGGCUGGCUCUGGGCCUGUGUGUGUGGCAGUUUGCAUAAUGUGUUUUUUUCAUAAUUUUAGGAAUGUACAAAGGAACUAAAUCUCAGGAAUAUGCUCUCCUUGUCAAUGGAUGGACCUUCUGUUAUUUGGAAAUUUGUGAAUGCAAAAAGAGCAUGCUGAGCAAUUUGCUGGAACACAAAUUCAAAUUGUCGGAAGCUGUAGUUUACACACCCUUCACAAUGCGUUUAAGGGUGGUUUUGAAUUGUGGAUGGUGGAAAAAGUGCUGAAAGCACUUCAUUUUCUCUUCCACUCCGCACCAGCCAGAAGAGAAGAUUUCACUUCUGCAACAGCAACCUCAACAUUCCCCUUGCCUUUCUGUGGACAUAGGUGGUUAGAAAAUUUGCCAGCUGUUGAAAGAGCGUUAGAAGUCUGGCCCUCCAUCGUGAAGUAUGUGGAGCUUGUGAAGUCAAAGAAGGUGAAGAACCCAGGGACAUCAUCAUUUGACAGCAUUUGUGAAGCCCAAAUGGAUCCCCUUCUGCUGGCCAAAUUCCAUUUUUUCGUGGCCAUAUCACGAGCCUUUCAGCCAUUUCUGGCGAAAUAUCAGAUGGAUGUGCCGAUGAUGCCCUUCCUCUGGGAGGACUUGGAAAAUUUGAUCCGGGUAAUCAUUCACAACAACAGUAGCAAUAACAAUAAAUGUCAAACACACACACACACACACACACACACACACACACACACACACACACCUUAACUAAACUGAAUUUUAUUUUCAGAAUCUCCUGAAACGCUUCAUCAAGCGAGAUGCCCUGCCUCUCACUCCUUUCAAACUUGUUAGGCUUGAUGUAACGGAUCAAAAACUCUGGCUGAGUCCAAAGGAAGUGGACAUUGGAAUGGGUGCAACAGCUGACCCUAACCCUCCUGAAAAUUCAUUGAUAUCUUUAGAUAGAGGUGCACAAAUGUGAAUAACUUGCUGUGUUUACAAUUGAGGUUUUGUUAUUCUUUUGCUUAGUGUUUGGAGAGAUCAUAGAAAUUUGACAAGCCAUGUUUUGUUGUCAGGAACUGUCAGGGGCCAAAGGCAGAGUAAGUGAUCUUGGGGUGCUUCAGUUCAGGAAAGACUGCCAGGUUGUUCUUUCGAACAUCUGCCAGAAGACACUGGAUAAGUGCCCUCUGAAGUACUCAGUUGUGCACAAUAUGAUGUGUUUGGACCCAAAGAAAAUGCACUCAAAGCCAGAUGACUGUUUGGAGAAGAUAAAAGCACUCAUCCAGAAGUUUGCGCAGGACAAACAGUUGGCAGGCGGGAUAUCUCAUGGUGAUGUAAUAUCUCAGCAGUUCGAAAAUUUCCUGCACAGUGAUGCCAAAGGAUUGGACUUCAUCUCCUUCAGUCUUUCUGAAGAAUGCAGAGUUGAUGUAUUUUUGCAUCAGAGAAUGGGUGGGUCUUACCCCGACCUCUGGACAUUCUGCAAAAAUCUGCUGCUCUUGUCCCAUGGGCAAGCGGAAGUUGAACGUGGGUUCUCCACAAAUAAAGAGGUGGAGACCUGCAACUUAACUGAGGAGGGAAUCAUUGCACAGAGGCUUAUAUGUGACCAUGUCAGAGUGUUUGGAGGAGUGACCAAAGUGCCUCUGACCAAAGAGAUGAUCAGCUACUGUGCUACAGCACGCACCAGGUACAGAGCAUACCUGGAAGAGGAGAGGAGUAAGAGGGAAAAAGAUGACCAAAAGAAAAAAAGAAAGAACAUGAUGGAGGAACUGGAGGAUCUGAAAAGGCAACAAAGAUCAUUGGAGGGAGUGUGUGAGAGUCUUCAAAAUGAUGUAGACCAAAUGGCUGAAAAAGCUGAAAAUUCUGCCGGCACCAAGAUGGCAGCACUCAUCACAAAGUCAAACACCCCGAGAAGGUGAGCAAAGGAAAAGAGAGAGCAGUUGGCGGCCCUUACAGCUGACAUUGAAAACAGGGCUUCUGAACUGAGAUGCUUAACAGAUUGGACUAAAAAUUGUGCAAGAAUGUUGGUUUUUUGUUUGUUUAUUACUCUGUCCGUUUUGGGACUGCAUUUCACUUGUCUGUUGCAAUAUGAUUUGUUUACGUACUGUUUGUAUGUUAUUUACAGCAGUAUUGUUGUAGAAUUGAGAAGGCAGUUGCCUGACAUGCACUUUAUGUUAGUAAAUAUGCACUGACUCUUUGCACUGGUGCUCAAAUUCAGCGCCCUGAAAAGCUUGAUUUGGCCAGAAAAUACUUCUGUAUACUUCUGU